rnacentral:rRNA from 1 species
UACGGAGGGGGCUAGCGUUGUUCGGAAUUACUGGGCGUAAAGCGCACGUAGGCGGACCGGAAAGUCAGAGGUGAAAUCCCAGGGCUCAACCUUGGAACUGCCUUUGAAACUCCUGGUCUUGAGGUCGAGAGAGGUGAGUGGAAUUCCGAGUGUAGAGGUGAAAAUUCGUAGAUAUUCGGAGGAACACCAGUGGCGAAGGCGGCUCACUGGCUCGAUACUGACGCUGAGGUGCGAAAGCGUGGGGAGCAAACAGG